UCAAACUUGGUCAUUUAGAGGAAGUAAAAGUCGUAACAAGGUCUCCGUUGGUGAACCAGCGGAGGGAUCAUUAGCGAGUUAAUUACAAACUCCAAACCCACGUGAACGUACCUACUGUUGCCUCGGCAGGUUGUGCUGCAGAGCGCCUACCCUGGAGUGGCUACCCUGGAGUAGCUACCCUGGAGCGGUUACCCUGCAGCGCGCAACCAGACCUGCCAGAGGACGUCUAAAUUCUUUUUUACACUGGAACUCUGAAAUUAUUAUACAAAUAAGUUAAAACUUUCAACAACGGAUCUCUUGGUUCUGGCAUCGAUGAAGAACGCAGC
rnacentral:misc_RNA from 1 species